rnacentral:rRNA from 1 species
AGACCCGAAACCCGGUGAUCUAGCCAUGGGCAGGUUGAAGGUUGGGUAACACUAACUGGAGGACCGAACCGACUAAUGUUGAAAAAUUAGCGGAUGACCUGUGGCUGGGGGUGAAAGGCCAAUCAAACCGGGAGAUAGCUGGUUCUCCCCGAAAGCUAUUUAGGUAGCGCCUCGUGAAUUCAUCUCCGGGGGUAGAGCACUGUUUCGGCUAGGGGGCCAUCCCGGCUUACCAACCCGAUGCAAACUGCGAAUACCGGAGAAUGUUAUCACGGGAGACACACGGCGGGUGCUAACGUCCGUCGUGAAGAGGGAAACAACCCAGACCGCCAGCUAAGGUCCCAAAGUCAUGGUUAAGUGGGAAACGAUGUGGGAAGGCCCAGACAGCCAGGAUGUUGGCUUAGAAGCAGCCAUCAUUUAAAGAAAGCGUAAUAGCUCACUGGUCGAGUCGGCCUGCGCGGAAGAUGUAACGGGGCUAAACCAUGCACCGAAGCUGCGGCAGCGAACGUAUCACCCAAGACAACUUUACGGAGUUGACGAUUGACGGAGCGAAGCGACGUCAAAGCGUUCAUUAAAGUCGAGUUGGCUUAGGGAUACGUUCGUUGGGUAGGGGAGCGUUCUGUAAGCCUGUGAAGGUGUGUCGUGAGGCAUGCUGGAGGUAUCAGAAGUGCGAAUGCUGACAUAAGUAACGAUAAAGCGGGUGAAAAGCCCGCUCGCCGGAAGACCAAGGGUUCCUGUCCAACGUUAAUCGGGGCAGGGUGAGUCGACCCCUAAGGCGAGGCCGAAAGGCGUAGUCGAUGGGAAACGGGUUAAUAUUCCCGUACUUGGUGUUACUGCGAAGGGGGGACGGAGAAGGCUAUGUUGGCCGGGCGACGGUUGUCCCGGUUUAAGCGUGUAGGUGUGUGUUCCAGGUAAAUCCGGUUCACUUUAACACUGAGGCGUGACGACGAGGCACUACGGUGCUGAAGCAACAAAUGCCCUGCUUCCAGGAAAAGCCUCUAAGCAUCAGGUAACAUCAAAUCGUACCCCAAACCGACACAGGUGGUCAGGUAGAGAAUACCAAGGCGCUUGAGAGAACUCGGGUGAAGGAACUAGGCAAAAUGGUGCCGUAACUUCGGGAGAAGGCACGCUGACACGUAGGUGAAGUGAUUUACUCAUGGAGCUGAAGUCAGUCGAAGAUACCAGCUGGCUGCAACUGUUUAUUAAAAACACAGCACUGUGCAAACACGAAAGUGGACGUAUACGGUGUGACGCCUGCCCGGUGCCGGAAGGUUAAUUGAUGGGGUCAGCGCAAGCGAAGCUCCUGAUCGAAGCCCCGGUAAACGGCGGCCGUAACUAUAACGGUCCUAAGGUAGCGAAAUUCCUUGUCGGGUAAGUUCCGACCUGCACGAAUGGCGUAAUGAUGGCCAGGCUGUCUCCACCCGAGACUCAGUGAAAUUGAACUCGCUGUGAAGAUGCAGUGUACCCGCGGCAAGACGGAAAGACCCCGUGAACCUUUACUAUAGCUUGACACUGAACAUUGAGCCUUGAUGUGUAGGAUAGGUGGGAGGCUUUGAAGUGUGGACGCCAGUCUGCAUGGAGCCGACCUUGAAAUACCACCCUUUAAUGUUUGAUGUUCUAACGUGGACCCGUAAUCCGGGUUGCGGACAGUGUCUGGUGGGUAGUUUGACUGGGGCGGUCUCCUCCUAAAGAGUAACGGAGGAGCACGAAGGUUGGCUAAUCCUGGUCGGACAUCAGGAGGUUAGUGCAAUGGCAUAAGCCAGCUUGACUGCGAGCGUGACGGCGCGAGCAGGUGCGAAAGCAGGUCAUAGUGAUCCGGUGGUUCUGAAUGGAAGGGCCAUCGCUCAACGGAUAAAAGGUACUCCGGGGAUAACAGGCUGAUACCGCCCAAGAGUUCAUAUCGACGGCGGUGUUUGGCACCUCGAUGUCGGCUCAUCACAUCCUGGGGCUGAAGUAGGUCCCAAGGGUAUGGCUGUUCGCCAUUUAAAGUGGUACGCGAGCUGGGUUUAGAACGUCGUGAGACAGUUCGGUCCCUAUCUGCCGUGGGCGCUGGAGAACUGAGGGGGGCUGCUCCUAGUACGAGAGGACCGGAGUGGACGCAUCACUGGUGUUCGGGUUGUCAUGCCAAUGGCACUGCCCGGUAGCUAAAUGCGGAAGAGAUAAGUGCUGAAAGCAUCUAAGCACGAAACUUGCCCCGAGAUGAGUUCUCCCUGAG